GGCCGACUAGCUCAGUUGGUUAGAGCGUGGUGCUAAUAAGCUACGCCAAGGUCGUCGGUUCGAUCCCGGCGUUGGCCA
rnacentral:tRNA from 1 species